AGGUGAGCGCUUGUGGGCAAUGGGGCAAAGUCACGAGUCGGCCUUUGUGCCUGACUUAUGGUGUCUUUGGCUUGAUGUUGAAAGCCUCGUAAGCCGCCUCUUGAGUGGGUGAGUUUUGUUUGAAUUAUUUUUCUUCGUAUCGUGCGGUACAUUUCGGGGUCGUAUUUGGCAUUCGGUUGUUUUGCUUGGCUCUUUAGCCUUGCGGGUGGCCGUUCCCAGGGCGGCUUCGGGGAUGUUUAUCGUAAAGGUGCAUGAGUGGUGUUUGGUUUGAUACGGGUGGUUGGCUCCUUGCUUGAGCAGGCACGACCACACGUGCAUUCCUUUUCAGUUGUGCGGCAAGGCUUGUAUUGUCUUGAUCGUAUAUGUGGGUUUCCUGUGUUGUGUACCUGAUCAAUGGCAUUGUUUUGAUCAAAAACGUAUCUUUUUCGUCUGGCGUUGCACUCGCAAUGUCGGAUGAACCAUGUAGCAUCCUUUUUGAUCCAUAUAGUCGAUGAGCAUUCGUUGAUUGUUUGGCCCAUUGAGGGUGACUUGGUCUCUCGGAUAUGGAAGCCAAAGUGGGCAUAGGUUCGUAUGAUCCUUUUAAUGCCCUCGUUGAGCGUUCUCGCUUCUCUUACACGACCGCCUUUCACGUAUGGCAUGUCCCAGCGUGUUUGGCUACGUCGAAGAGGAAUGC
rnacentral:misc_RNA from 1 species